GGGGGAAGUGAGUGAGCUCUGACCGUUUCCUAGCCCACUCAAAGAAAAGAGCUGUUUUCUUGUGUCUGCGCUUUCUGGGGAUGUAAUGUGGUAGCUGGGUUCGUUUUUUUGCUUUCAUUUUUAUGUUUUUUUUUUCCCCCAGCAGAAAUGAGGACAGGAAGGCUGCCCUUCUGAACCUCCUCUCUGUCAAAGGACUUCUAGGGAUUUCCAGCAUGUGGAGGAAGAUCAGAAAGUCUCCGCGGAACUUCUGCCAAGCUGCUGGAGUCACAGACUCUUCCCACACUCCCCCUGGGCCUCGUCAGUUCUUAUCAAGGAUGCAGGGGCGGCGGCGGCAGCCUUUCCACUUCAGAAAAGGAAGCCAGUGAAGCACGGGGAAAAGAAAACUAACACUGGGAAGCAAGGGCUCCUAUCAAAUGUCAGUUGUUCUGUCUCUGACCAUCCAAGAGGCUAAGGACUGAAGUCUCUUGUGGCCAAGGGUGGCUUCUGACAUGCAUAUCACUGUUUCCCCAAUGCCUGGCGUAUAGAAGCUAAUCAAUAAAAAAUCACGGAUGGAGUAUUCCAGUGACCAGUCCAAAAGGUGGGGGUAGUAACCCUUUGGAGGACUAUGGAGCAGAAACCAAUCACCACAGAAAUGAGGAUGAGGAAUCUGACAUGUUUGAGGUGUUUCUAUAGCAGGAGGACUUGACCAGUAAUGGAUGUACCUACUCUGCCGACCUAAAACAGCAUCCCUCAUCAUGAGUGCAUCUGAGGAUCAGACAGAAAGCUCUGUUGGUAAAAUGGCCUGCAAAGCAUUUCUUGUACCUUUUGCAAUGAAGCAGCCAUGGAUGUUAAGUGUAAGCUUCAGAAUUUUUGAACAGAGCAAAUUCAUCACUGCAUUUGUAAUGAGCCAACCUUUGAAAA